CUUUGCUGACGAGUGGCGGACGGGUGAGUAAUGUCUGGGAAACUGCCUGAUGGAGGGGGAUAACUACUGGAAACGGUAGCUAAUACCGCAUAACGUCGCAAGACCAAAGAGGGGGACCUUAGGGCCUCUUGCCAUCGGAUGUGCCCAGAUGGGAUUAGCUAGUAGGUGGGGUAAAGGCUCACCUAGGCGACGAUCCCUAGCUGGUCUGAGAGGAUGACCAGCCACACUGGAACUGAGACACGGUCCAG
rnacentral:rRNA from 1 species